GGUUUCGCCUGGAUGGGAGAUUACAUCAUUGCGGCCGUCGCGGCGCUUGGUGGGCUGGGGGCCUGGCAUAUGGAUACAGGACCGUCCGAGGCCCGCCCCAUGGGUGCGCUCUCCCUCUCCUUGAUUGGCCUCGGUUACGCGAUGACCUUUGCGGUGCAUGCCGGGGCAACGGUAUACGGUCU
rnacentral:rRNA from 1 species